ensembl:lncRNA
UGGCUGAAUAGUCGACUAAGCAUGCACGCAAAAGUUUGGGGUAUGUGGAAACUUUCUGCACCAUCUUUAUUCCACAUAGAAGUGAUAUCUAUUUCUGCCUUAUUGACUGUGCCAAAGCCCUUGACUCUGUGGAUCACAACAAACUGUGGGAAAUUCUUAAAGAGAUGGGAAUACCAGACCACCUGAUUUGCCUCCUGAGAAAUCUGUAUGCAGGUCGAGAAGGAACAGUUAGAACAGGACAUGAAACAAUGGACUGGUUCCAAAAUGGGAAAGGAGUACGUCAAGGCUGUAUAUUGUCACCCUGCUUAUUUAACUUAUAUGCAGAGUACAUCAUGAGAAAUGCUGGACUGGAUGAAGCACAAGCUGGAAUCAAGAUGGCUGGGAGAAAU